ensembl:lncRNA
UGCCCAUGUUACUAUGAUGUGGGCUUGGGACAGGCAGGUUCUGCCCAUGUUACUAUGAUGUGGGCUUGGGACAGGCAGGUUCUGUCCAUGUUACUUUGAUGUGGGCUUGGGACAGGCAGGUUCUGCCCAUGUUACUAUGAUGUGGGCUUGGGACAGGCACGACUGAUUCAUUUGUGUCACAGUCACACCAGGCAGACCACCCCUCUGUGGUGACUAUACAGUCACACCAGGCAGACCACCCCUCUGUGGUGACUAUACAGUCACACCAGGCAGACCACCCCUCUGUGGUGACUAUACAGUCACACCAGGCAGACCGCCCCUCUGUGGUGACUAUACAGUCACACCAGGCAGACCGCCCCUCUGUGGUGACUAUACAGUCACACCAGGCAGACCGCCCCUCUGUGGUGACUAUA